AAGAAUAUGCUGAAUUUUGACAUCUGAAGCCCCAAUGUCGCAGCAAUGUCGUAGCAUCGAGCUUGAUAGGAAGAGAUUGAGAAGUUCACACUUAAAGAACAUCACAUCAGCUUUUGGGCUUAACCCAUCUCUUAACAAAUGUUGAUAAUGACCAAUAAUAAAAAAGAAUAGGCUAUGAGAAAAUAUAAAGGCUCAAACACUCUCAAGAGGAGAAAAUUAGAAUAGGACAGUGAGUUAACCUAGUCCACAAUCUUUUGGGGGAUAUAAAUAUCACACUUUGAGAAAAUAAAGAGGUGAGACCGUCGGGUGCAAAAAAAAAACAGAACAUCAAUUUUCAGAAGGCAGCACGUUGGAGAAGAAGAGGAUCCGAAGAAGGAAAAAAAGAGAAGAACGACUGGAGGAGAACCACAUCAUUCGGCUUAUCAUCUCUUCACCUUUCUCUUUGCCUUGUAAUCAUUUUCCUUUGCUAAUUUGAACCAUGGCUGAGUUUUGCUUGAUUGUUUUUAAUUUGAUGAUUAUGGACUAAAUAUUUAUUAGCUAGAAUAAUUAUGGAACCCUAAUAUGAGAUUAUUGGUAUUUUGAUAAGUAUGCUUGUUGCAAUAUGAUGUUUAUUCAUUUAAGUGUUAUUCAUGUUUAAGACUUGCUAUUGCUUGAUCAACAUUAAUGGGUAAUUGAGUUAAUUGUUAAUUCUGAAAAGGUUGUGAUUAAUGAACAUAAAACUUGAAUAGUGCAUGUUUAGUUUCUUUAUUUUUAUAUGUGUAAUGAUAUAGACAUAUAUUGUUACAGUGCAUAAUCCUGUAAGAAUGGUGCUUGUAGUUGUAUUCUUGAAAUUAAUUUGGCAUAGACAUAUGUUAAAUUAGUUAUAGGAUUGAACAUAGUGACUUCGAGAGAAGCCUAUAAACUGUCGAUUUCAGAUUAAUAAAUUGUCGCAUUGUCGCAGCAUCAUUACCGGUAAUUGCAUGUUAGGGGGAAAUAAUUAAUCUGGCUCUUCAAUUCAUUGAUGUUAAUUUGUGUUGCUAUUUUUAAAUUUAUUUGCAUAUUUAUUUGAAUUUAAUCAAUUUUUUAUUUACUUUCCAAAUUGUCAUUUGUUAAUUUUGCAAUUAAUGUUUUAAAAUCAGUCCAUGUGGAAACAGUAACUCUAGUAUUUACUAUUAUAUUACUUGCUAACGAUUGUGUACACUUGUAGUUAGAGGUCGGGAAAUCAAUCGUGAUGGCUCAAUCACAAGGGGUAGACAGUGAAGAGAAAAUGAUCCAAUAGUACAUCGUCCCCAUUGAGUUUCAGGUAAAAUUUCGAGGACGAUAUUUCUAAAUGGGGGAGAAUUGUAAUGACCAAAUUUUUAUUGGUACCGGAAAUUGUUGUUUCAGAACCUCAUUCCAUAAACUGAGUCUCUAAAUAUUAAAUAUGAAUAUUUAUGGAGCUUAUAUAAAAAUAUAUUAAAGAUUGAUUUAAUAAAUUUGUUGAAUUAAUAGUUAAUUAUAGCCCAAUGACUAAAUUGUAAUGUUCACUCUCUAUAGAUUUUUAAUUAGGAAAUGGCUUGGGCACUUAAAUUGCAAUUAUCCAAAGGACCAAAAUGAUUAAUCAUGUGCUAGUGGACAAUAAUGUGUGUGUUAAUUAAUUUAAGAAAUUGAAGAUUAAUUAGUUAAGUAAACAUAAUUAAUUAAAUAAAUUAAGCUUAAUUAACCUUUAAGCCAUAAGCCAUGUAUAAAAGCUAAAGUAACUUAAAAAGGUUUCCUUACCUUUCGACUAUAACUUGGUAAGUAAAUUUAAGUCAUUUUCUUGUAAUUUUUGUAGAUUUAAGGUCAUGAGAGCUUGAUUUAGCUAGCCCAUGUACUAAUUUUUGAAACUGUUAAAGUUUUAGCAAGUUUUCAUUAUUGAUUUCUUGAAGAAUUAGGUGUGGAAUUGAUUGAAAUUAAGCUUAGUUUAUGGAAAUGACUAAAUUGUAAAGCUUAAUUAUUGAUUUCGUACAUUAGGGAUUAAAUUGAAUUAAAUGCAAAAAUAUUAUGAAAUUUUGUUAGGAAUAUAAAGUAUAGGGUCACUAAUGAAUAUAUAUGAAAUCUAGUUUUAAUCUGAGGCUAGAAAUUAAAAGAUAUGUUUAUUCCGAAUUUAGGGACUAAAUGGAAUAAAUUGAAAAAUAUGCAUGAAUUGGUAAUUGGUUUUGAAUUGGCUGAAAAUUUAUAUUGAUAUAUGUUUUAUGAUCAUAUGUAGCUAACGUCGGCAUUGGGUCAUCGAAAGGGAAAGUGAAAGCAAGAGUCGUUGAUGAGUGACACGAGACCCCUAGUUUGUAUUUCUAUGGUUCAGGAUCAAUUUAAUUACUGCAUAUUCAUGACAUUUUGCAUUAUAUGGUGUUGAGGUGAGUUGUCAAUGGUUAUUUGAAUUGAAUUGCUGUAGUUGAGAUUUAAUAUCGAGAUAUUGACCAAAUCGAAUAAAAUGAAAGAUGAUAUGAAUUAUCUUGAAAUGUGAUAUAUGUUAUGGAAGUUGAGUAGAAUAUGUGUAAAAUAUGAAUAUAUGUGUUUAGAAAAUGAAAUGUAUCAUGGUUAUGAAUGUGAUUGAGUGCAUGUAUUAGAUUAAAUUGUAUAACGAUAUUGAAUGUCAAAACUCUGUACUGGUUGAAUAUUCGAAAAAUGAGUACAACACAGUAUGUUGAAUGGUAUGUAAUGUAUGAAUUAUAUUGAUAGUGAGAUUGAAUUGUGAUAUAUGGUUAUAAUGUAUAUUGAUUCGAUGUUACCUUAAAAACAAUCUCGAGUACCGUUGAAUUAGUUGGCA
rnacentral:lncRNA from 1 species